CAUAGUAGUAUCCUGAGUAGCGCGGAGCACGAGGAAUUCUGCGUGAAUCUGCCGGGACCAUCCGGUAAGGCUAAAUACUCCCGAGAGACCGAUAGCGAACCAGUACCGUGAGGGAAAGGUGAAAAGCACUUCGAACAGAAGAGUGAAAUAGUUCCUGAAACCGUGCGCCUACAAGCGGUCGGAGCUCGUUAAUGAGUGACGGCGUGCCUUUUGCAUAAUGAACCUACGAGUUGCCUUUGCCGGCAAGGUUAAGUGUGACGACACACGUAUCCGAAGCGAAAGCGAGUCUGAACAGGGCGUAUAGUCGGCAGUGGCAGACGCGAAACCAAGUGAUCUACCCUUGGCCAGGUUGAAGGCUGGGUAACACCAGCUGGAGGACCGCACCAAUAAGCGUUGAAAAGCUUCUGGAUGAGCUGAGGGUAGGGGUGAAAGGCUAAUCAAACUUGGAGAUAGCUCGUACUCCCCGAAAUGCAUUUAGGUGCAGCCUUGCGGGUUACUGAUGUGAGGUAGAGCGACUGAUAAGAUGCGAGGGCUUCACCGCCUAUCAAGUCUUGACAAACUCCGAAUGCGCAUCAGUUCUACCGCAGGAGUGAGGGCAUGGGUGCUAAGGUCCGUGCCCGAGAGGAGAAGAAUCCGGACCACCUGCUAAGGUCCCGAAAUGACAGCUAAGUUAAACUAACGAAGUCUGACUGCUAAGACAGCUAGGAUGUUGGCUUGGAAGCAGCCAUUCAUUUAAAGAGUGCGUAACAGCUCACUAGUCGAGGAGUCGGGCGUGGAUAAUAAUCGGGUAUUAAGUUGUCUACCGAAGCAGUGGGAUCAUUAAUAUGAUCGGUAGGGGAGCAUUCCAGUCAGCGUCGAAGGCGUACCGUGAGGUAUUCUGGAGCGUCUGGAAAAGCAAAUGUAGGUAUAAGUAACGAUAAAGGGGGCGGGAAACCCCCUCGCCGAAAGACUAAGGUUUCCUGAUCAACGCUAAUCGGAUCAGGGUCAGUCGGGUCCUAAGGCUCAGCCGAACGGCGAUGCCGAUGGCAGAAACGGUUAAUAUUCCGUUACUACCUUCAGGAGUGACGUGGAGACGCAGUAGUGACAGUGCCGCCAUCUGACGGAAUAGAUGGUUGAAGGGUGUAGGAGUCGAUCAUGGCAGGCAAAUCCACCAUGAGAUCCGA
rnacentral:rRNA from 1 species